GUAUAAGAAGCUAACAGCUACAGAUGAAAGAUCCCCAAAGGGAGACCCUCACUCAAGCCUCGGGAUGUGGCGCGGACCCAAGAGAGACGCGGAGACCG
rnacentral:pre_miRNA from 7 species